AAGUCGUAACAAGGUUUCCGUAGGUGAACCUGCGGAAGGAUCAUUAACAAAUCUAUCUAUAUUAACCUGUUGCAUUGUCCGUGAAUGCUGCCAAUGAUGGCAACGUCAUUGGGUCGGUUAGACCUGUGUCUGCUGGCAAGCUGAAGCGGAGUGAGGUUGGUUGCGCGUGAUCCAGAUUGCGGAAGCAAUUCUUGCAAAUGAUAAGUCUUGCCUUCACUUGCGUGGAGGAACCGUGAAGCAGUAGCUUUAGGAUGGCCGAGUCAUGGGCCUCACUGUCUCGCGAUAGUGGGGGGUCGCGCUGCGAGACCUCAAAUUAACGUCUAUUUGUUGUUUAAUUGUUCGUAACGAGGAAAAGUACAACUAUUAACAGUGGAUCUCUUGGCUCCCAA
rnacentral:misc_RNA from 1 species